GCUGGGCCUGGUGGUGCACACCUGUAAUCCCAGUGGCUCAGAGGCUGAGGCAGGAGGAUCAUGAGUUCAAAGCCAGCCUCAGCAACUUAGUGGGCCCCUGUCUCUA
rnacentral:sRNA from 1 species